GGGGUUGUGGCUCAGUGGUGGAGUGCUUGCCUUGCAUGUGUGAGGCUCUGGGUUUGAUUCCCAGCACCACA
rnacentral:tRNA from 1 species